UAGCGUAGGGGGCAAGCGUUGUCCGGAUUUAUUGGGCGUAAAGGGUGCGUAGGCGGUUUGGUAAGUCUGAUGUGGAAAUCUAUGGGCUCAACUCAUAGUACUGCAUCGGAAACUGCCAGGGCUUGUAGUGUGGGAGAGGUGAGUGGAAUUCCCUGGUGUAGCGGUGAAAUGCGUAGAUAUCAGGAGGAACACCUGUGGCGAAAGCGGCUGCACUGGACCAUAACUGACGUGAUGCACGAAAGGCUAGGGGAGCAAACAGG
rnacentral:rRNA from 1 species